UGCUAUGAUGAUUAAGUGAAAUAAUCUCGUUAAUCUGAUUAAUAAUGAGGAUAACUAUCAUACCCAUUCGUUACUUUUCUGAGC